rnacentral:rRNA from 1 species
UUAGGCAUGCAAGUCGAACGAGAAAGCACCCUUUCGGGGUGUGAGUAAAGUGGCGAACGGGUGAGUAACAGGUGGGUAACGUGCCCCGAAGCGGGGGAUAACCCGGGGAAACCCGGGCUAAUACCGCAUGUGGCCCCAAGGGCUCUGGCCCUAAGGGUUAAAGGCUUCGGUCACUUCGGGAUCGGCCCGCCCCUGAUUAGCUAGUUGGUGAGGUAACGGCUCACCAAGGCUGCGAUCAGUAGCUGGUCUGAGAGGAUGGUCAGCCACACUGGGACUGAGAUACGGCCCAGACUCCUACGGGGGGCAGCAGUCUAGAGGCUUCGGCAAUGGGGGAAACCCUGACCGAGCGACGCCGCGUGCGGGAUCGAAGGCCUUCGGGUCGUAAACCGCUGUCAGGAGGGAAGAAUGCCCGGGUGGUGAACUCGGGGGCGACGGUACCUCCAGAGGAAGCACCGGCUAACUCCGUGCCAGCAGCCGCGGUAAUACGGAGGGUGCGAGCGUUAUUCGGAUUUACUGGGCGUAAAGGGUGCGUAGGCGGUUGUGUAAGUCUGAUGUGAAAUCUUCGUCGCUCAACGGGAAGAGGUCAUUGGAAACUGCGCAACUUGAGUGUGGUAGAGGCAGGCGGAAUUCCUGGCGUAGCGGUGGAAUGUGUAGAUAUCAGGAAGAACACCUGUGGCGAAGGCGGCCUGCUGGGCCACUACUGACGCUGAGGCACGAAAGCGUGGGGAGCGAACGGGAUUAGAUACCCCGGUAGUCCACGCCGUAAACGGUGACAACUAGGUGUCGGGUGUCCUACGAGGCGUUCGGUGCCGCAGCCAACGCGAUAAGUUGUCCGCCUGGGGAGUACGGCCGCAAGGCUAAAACUCAAAUGAAUUGACGG